rfam:Triticum aestivum genome assembly, contig: Triticum_aestivum_CS42_TGACv1_scaffold_499662_6BL
UAAAUACUCCCUCCGUCCGAAAAUACUUGUCAUCAAAAUGGAUAAAAAGAGAUGUAUCUAAAACUAAAAUACGUCUAGAUACAUUUCCUUUUAUCCAUUUUGAUGACAAGUAUUUCCGGACGGACGGAGUGUUUG